rnacentral:rRNA from 1 species
UACGUAGGGGCCUAGCGUUGUCCGGAAUUAUUGGGCGUAAAGAGCUCGUAGGCGGUUCGGCAAGUCGGAUGUGAAAUCUCCACGCUUAACGUGGAGGGGCCAUUCGAAACUGCUGUGACUCGAGUCCGGUAGGGGAGUGUGGAAUUCCCGGUGUAGCGGUGAUAUGCGUAGAUAUCGGGAGGAACACCUGUGGCGAAGGCGGCUUUCUGGGCCCUACCUGACGCUGAGACGCGAAAGCGUGGGGAGCGAACCGG